AUACGUAGGUGACAAGCGUUAUCCGGAUUUACUGGGCGUAAAGGGCGUGUAGGCGGUCUUGCAAGUCAGAGGUGAAAUUCCUGAGCUCAACUCGGGCGCUGCUUCUGAAACUGCAGGACUUGAGUGCUGGAGGGGAUAGCGGAAUUCCUAGUGGAGCGGUAAAAUGCGCAGAUAUUAGGAAGAACACCGGUGGCGAAGGCGGUUACCUGACCAGAAACGGGCGCGGGGGCGCAAAACGGGGGGAAGAAAACAGGAUUAGAUACCCUGUUAGUCCACGCCGUAAACGAUGAAUACUAGGUUUAGGGGGUAUCGACUCCCCUGUGCCGCAGUUAACACAAUAAGUAUUCCGCCUGGGGAGUACGGCCGCAAGGUUGAAACUCAAAUGAAUUGGCGGGG
rnacentral:rRNA from 1 species